rnacentral:misc_RNA from 1 species
AUUGAAUUUAGAGUGUUGAAUGCUCCAGUAUAGAAAUGUAAUAAUUUAGUGGUAAGAUAAGUAAGAAGAAAAAGAAAAAUACCUAAAAUGUUGUGAAAGAAAAUAAUAUCAAAUGAUUACACUUUUGAAACAUUGACAAGGAACUGAUUUCAAACAAAGCUGAAGCUGAAUGAUAAAAAAUUAUUCAUAAGAUGACCCCAACUGAUUUGGGAUUAAGACUUAAUUGUUAGUAUACAUCAUAUGUCUCAAAAAUAUAGAGCUCUAUCUUAUCACUCAAGCAGGGCAUGCUACAUUCCACAGAGUAAGAAAAAGACUUUACAUUAUCAAAGAUUUAAGGAAAAAAGUUAAACCUUCAAUUGUAUCACAUUCUUCCCAUAAAUGCUAGUAACUAAUGAAAAAACCAGGACCCUUUUCUCAUUGUUUCCAAAAGCCAUAUCGAAUGCAAGAGAGCUCCCUGCAGAUGAUAAUUUUUCAAGUACCUCAAGCCACUGGUUACAAAAACAGCUAUGCUCAUAUCUACUUUCACGUAAGGGAUCUGCUUUCCCAUUCUUGUCAUUCAAUCAAACAGGAUUCAGUUGUUUUAUCUCAUAACUUGAAUCAUUUAAGAAGAAAAUUCUGGGAGGUUUCUGUCCUCUGAGAAUUGAAAAACAAUCAAGUCACACACCUGACACCUCAGCAUAAUAUAUGGAGAGCAUGAUUUAGACAUGUCCUGUGAGAACUAAUGAUGCAAAUCAAAAGUGUAUCUAAGAAGAAAAGGAAACUGAUAAUGAAAAUCAGAGGGGGCAGACAUGGACUCACGGAUCCUAUUACAGGUAACUAUUUGUUUAAGCUAAACUUUGAAAGUACUGCAGCUGCCUGGUCACCACCCAACAAGAAAUAAGGAUGCCUCAGAGUAGCAGCUGCCGAUAAACGGCCUCUCAUAAGGCUACCUCUCUCUGAGAUCAGUUUUGUAGCAAGAUCCCACCCUCUACCUGAGUCGAGGUCAAGAAUUGUUAAGUCAGGCCUCAAUCGAGUGUACUUUCUCCAUCUAUUCAAGUCGUAUUCAACCGUUUUUAGCUCUGCAUUGAAAUUCUUUAAGCCUCCUAUGGACCUUAAAGUUGGUAUGGCCAUUUGUAAGAGUACAAUCCCAGCAGAAUACAUAUCAAAUAGAUCAGGACUGUUCAGCUGCCAAAGUAUUGGAGAAAGCAAGGCAGCAAUUGGCUCUGGUGGAGGACUUGGGGUCUCCUCUGGAAGUACGUAUAGCUCAGGUGGGCAAUAGUCAGGAUCAAGCAGAGUUCGAUUGGGUUCAUAGUUCUUGCCUAUUCGAAGGUCAGUGGCAGCCCCAAAAUCUAUGAGCUUGAUCUUUCCCUUCUUUGUCACAACUAAGUUGGCUGGCUUUACAUCCCGAUGAACAAUUCCCGUAUCAUGGAUUUUUUUUAGCGAAGUAAUAAUCUGGCGCAUUAUUUGCUUGAUAAUCAAUGCAUUACGUUUAACAGAAUCCACUCCUUGCAGGACACGUCCAAACAUGACAGACUCCAAGUUAAAAGGGAAGUUACGAUCUUUCAUAUAAUCAGCAAGAUUUCGAUCUCCCUGUCACAUGGACAUCCCUACAAUUAGCACAAGAGACGGUUGGUGCAUCCUCAAAUUAUUUUUAUUGUAGAAGAAUGAGCAUAUAUUUAGUAAUGAGCUUUAUUUAAUCAAGAAAUGUUUAGAACAUCAAAAUAAACAUAUGAAGAAGCUGCAGAAAGCCAUUAACUUGUAUCCUCCAUGCUUACUAAGGAUCCAUAGAGAUAGGUGUGAACUUAUAUUGAAGAAGAUUUCGAUUUAUGUUAAUUGAAGUAUUACUAAACAUUAACAUAGUGUCAAAUUCAAAUAUCCAUUCGUUUCAAAAUCCCAUCUGUCCAAAUGAGUUGUAAUAUCAUUCAAAAUCUGAUGUUACAUAAGGCAGAUUAAGAAAAGGCUUUAAUUUUUUGUUGAUUCAAAAGGGAAUCCCUCCCUAUUGCACUAGAAAGUGGUUGAGAAUUUUCAAAUUGGAGGAGUACCUCAAAUUUCCAAACAAGCCAUUUUGCACCCUGCGUAAAUUGUGAAUUCGUUUUGUCAGCAACAAAACUACCGAGGAAUUCAGCACAUGUUUCAGGAGCUGCUCUUGACAUCCUAUAAUUAAACCACUCCUCAACUUCACCAAAUUCUUCAGCCCCUUGGAUUCCAACCUUCACCUGCAUAUUCCCAUUGAUAACAAUCCAACUCCCAUCAGUUUUGUAAGUAGAAAAGGAUCGCACGAGCAACCAUAGAAUUCACCUACGGGCAUGAAAUUGAUACAAGACUAUGAACUGAUACUUUUGUUUAGAUUUUAUACUUAAGGAUUGAAAUUCCUUUGAUCUUCGGAAUGUAAAACAAUGACAAUAGAAAGGGAAAAGAAAGAAGUUAAUUGCAAUUGGUUAUAGAAAGAGCUUAGCAAAGAUGAUUACUAGUCAUAAAGUUACCAUUUUGAGAAUAACCUUCUCUUUGUAUCUCCCAUUCAAUUCCAGUGAUUUUCCCCUUCCUCUCUUUUGCCCCCUCUCUUCCAGAGUCACAUUUUUUGGAAUAAUUACCCCUGAAUAAACAACACCGAAAGAUCCUUCUCCCAAUUUAUUUUCAAUCAUAAAAUCAGUACUCUUCAAGCGCCGUCGUCCACUCAAGCUGUCCAAACCCAGUUGCAGAGGAGCCAGAAGGUACGCAUCAAUGGCACCUAUUAGUACACCAGGCCUUGCAGUUAAGUAAAUCCAUGCGAGCCCACCAAAAACCAAUAAUCCCCAUUUCUGAAACUCAGAUAAAUCGUCAGUAAUUCUAUGGAACUGGACCAACCCAGAUUGAAAGAUAGGGAACUGGUCCGGAUGGAGAGUGGGAUCUAAUGAAUCAUCUGGGAUGUUGCCAAAAAAUGCAUUGCACCUUCCUGGGUUAUGCUUGAAGCCUUUCGUGAAAGAAUGUAGAUUAUGGCGGAAAGUAAAAGUGGGCUUGAAAGCAGAGAAGCAAAGAAUUUUAGGAUACUGCUGAAUUGCAACAGCAGUUGGAGAUAAAAGAGAAGCCAUGCCACUGCUUGAGCGCAGGCUGCCUCCUCACGAAAUUCAAUUAAAUCAGGAGGGCAGGA